rnacentral:lncRNA from 1 species
GGUAAUCAAACUUCAUGUGGUUGGUUACCAAAUCAUUUGAUAAGGUAACCAAUUCAGUUUUAUUAGCUUACUAAUAUAUUUUGAUUGUUCUGCAGUUGGUAACCAAAAUUUAUGCAGUUGGUUACUAAACCUUCCGAUAAGGUAACCAAUUUAGUUUUAUUAGGUUACUAAUUUAUUUUGGAUGUGAUGCAGUUGGUAAUCAAACUUCAUGUAGUUGGUUACCAAAUCAUUUGAUAAGGUAACCAAUUCAGUUUUAUUAGCUUACUAAUAUAUUUUGAAUGUGAUGCAGUUGGUAAUCAAAAUUUAUGCAAUUGGUUACUAAACCUUCCGAUAAGGUAACCAAUUUAGUUUUAUUAGGUUACUAAUUUAUUUUAGAUGUGAUGCAGUUGGUAACCAAAUUUCAUAUAGUUGGUUACCAAACCAUUUGAUAAGGUAACCAAUUCAGUUUUAUUUGAUUACCAAUUUUAUUUUAAAUGUGAUGCAGUUACUAGUCAAAAUUCGUAUAAAGGUAACCAUUUCAAUUUUUGUGGGUAACCAAAUCGUCAAAAGAAAUUCAGAAUAGCAACUCCGGUGGCGGCGGCGAUGUGGCGGCGGCAGCGGUGGCGGCGAGAGAGGAGGAUGAUGAACAUUAGCUCCUUCAUAAUUUUUAAUUUUUAAU